rnacentral:rRNA from 1 species
ACUCAAAUGAAUUGACGGGGACCCGCACAAGCGGUGGAGUAUGUGGCUUAAUUCGAUGCAACGCGAAGAACCUUACCAGGGCUUGACAUGGAUUGUAACCCCGGUGAAAGCCGGGCAGCGUAGAAAUACGCGCUUUUCACAGGUGCUGCAUGGCUGUCGUCAGCUCGUGUCGUGAGAUGUUGGGUUAAGUCCCGCAACGAGCGCAACCCUUAUGAUUUGUUGCCACCGGUUCAUUCCGAGCACUCAAGUCAGACUGCCCAGAUUAACUGGGAGGAAGGUGGGGAUGACGUCAAGUCCGUAUGGCCCUUACGUCCUGGGCUGCACACGUACUACAAUGUCCAGUACAAAGUGACCUGAAGCUGCGAAGCGGAAGAAAUCAUCAAAACUGGGCUCAGUUCAGAUUGCAGGCUGCAACUCGCCUGCAUGAAGUCGGAAUCGCUAGUAAUGGUACAUCAGCAACGGUACCGUGAAUACGUUCCCGGGUCUUGUACACACCGCCCGU